AGUGAACGCUGGCGGUAGGCCUAACACAUGCAAGUCGAACGGCAGCAGAGUAAGUGCUCCUUCAUUCGGGUGGCGAGGGGCGGGCGGGGCCGGUAUAUCUGGCAAUCUACUGUUUCGUGCGGGAUAACGCAGGCACACAUACGCCAAAACCGCAUACGACCUACGGGUGAAAGCUUGGGAUCUUCGGAUCUCGCGCGAGCGAAUGAGCCGAUGUCGGAUUAGCUAGUUGGCGGGGUAAAGGCGCACCAAGCCGACGAUCCGUAGCUGGUCUGAGAGGAGGAUCAGCCACACUGGAACUGAGACACGGUCCAGACUCCUACGGGAGGCAGCAGUGGGGAAUAUUGGACAAUGGGCGGAAGCCUGAUCCAGCCAUACCGCGUGGGUGAAGAAGGUCUUCGGGUUGUAAAGCACUUUUGUUGGGGAGGAAGGGCAGCAGGUUAAUACCCAGCUGUUUUGACGGUACCCACAGAAUAAGCACCGGCUAACUUCGUG
rnacentral:rRNA from 1 species